rnacentral:rRNA from 1 species
UUUUAAUUUUUUUUUUUCUGGCUCAAGUGAACGCUGGCGGUAGACCUAACACAUGCAAGUCGAACGGCAGCACAGGAGAGCUUGCUCUGUGGGUGGCGAGUGGCGGACGGGUGAGGAAUACAUCGGAAUCUACUCUGUCGUGGGGGAUAUCGUAGGGAAACUUACGCUAAUACCGCAUACGACCUACGGGUGAAAGCAGGGGACCUUCGGGCCUUGCGCGAUUGAAUGAGCCGAUGUCGGAUUAGAUAGAUGGCGGGGUAAAGGCCCUCCAAGGCGACGAUCCGUAGCUGGUGUGAGAGGAUGAUCACCCACACUGGAACUGAGACACGGUCCAGACUCUUACGGGAGGCAGCAGUGGGGAAUAUUGGACAAUGGGCGCAAGCCUGAUCCACCCAUACCGCGUGGGUGAAGAAGGCCUUCGGGUUGUAAAGCCCUUUUGUUGGGAAAGAAAUCCAGCCGGGUAAUACCCGGUUGGGAUGACGGUACCCAAAGAAUAAGCACCGGGUAACUUCGUGCCAGCACCCGCGGUAAUACGAAGGGUGCAAGCGUUACUCGGAAUUACUGGGCGUAAAGCGUGCGUAGGUGGUCGUUUAAGUCCGUUGUGAAAGCCCUGGGCUCAACCUGGGAACUGCAGUGGAUACUGGGCGACUAGAAUGUGGUAGAGGGUAGCGGAAUUCCUGGUGUAGCAGUGAAAUGCGUAGAGAUCAGGAGGAACAUCCAUGGCGAAGGCAGCUCCCUGGACCAACAUUGACACUGAGGCACGAAAGCGUGGGGAGCAAACAGGAUUAGAUACCCUGGUAGUCCACGCCCUAAACGAUGCGAACUGGAUGUUGGGUGCAAUUUGGCACGCAGUAUCGAAGCUAACGCGUAAGUCGCCGCCUGGAGACCGACCGA